AGUGGCGAACGGGUGAGUAAUAUAUCGGAACGUACCCAAGAGUGGGGGAUAACGUAGCGAAAGUUACGCUAAUACCGCAUACGAUCUAAGGAUGAAAGUGGGGGAUCUUCGGACCUCAUGCUCCUGGAGCGGCCGAUAUCUGAUUAGCUAGUUGGUGAGGUAAAGGCUCACCAAGGCGACGAUCAGUAGCUGGUCUGAGAGGACGACCAGCCACACUGGGACUGAGACACGGCCCAGACUCCUACGGGAGGCAGCAGUGGGGAAUUUUGGACAAUGGGCGCAAGCCUGAUCCAGCAAUGCCGCGUGAGUGAAGAAGGCCUUCGGGUUGUAAAGCUCUUUUGACAGGGAAGAAACGGCCGAGGCUAAUACCUUUGGCUAAUGACGGUACCUGAAGAAUAAGCACCGGCUAACUACGUGCCAGCAGCCGCGGUAAUACGUAGGGUGCAAGCGUUAAUCGGAAUUACUGGGCGUAAAGCGUGCGCAGGCGGUUUUGUAAGUCUGUCGUGAAAGCCCCGGGCUUAACCUGGGAAUUGCGAUGGAGACUGCAAGGCUUGAAUCUGGCAGAGGGGGGUAGAAUUCCACGUGUAGCAGUGAAAUACGUAGAGAUGUGGAGGAACACCGAUGGCGAAGGCAGCCCCCUGGGUCAAGAUUGACGCUCAUGCACGAAAGCGUGCGGAGCAAACAGGAUUAGAUACCCUGGUAGUCCACGCCCUAAACGAUGUCUACUAGUUGUCGGGUCUUAAUUGACUUGGUAACGCAGCUAACGCGUGAAGUAGACCGCCUGGGGAGUACGGUCGCAAGAUUAAAACUCAAAGGAAUUGACGGGGACCCGCACAAGCGGUGGAUGAUGUGGAUUAAUUCGAUGCAACGCGAAAAACCUUACCUACCCUUGACAUGUCAGGAACCUCCGAGAGAUUGGAGGGUGCUCGAAAGAGAGCCUGAACACAGGUGCUGCAUGGCUGUCGUCAGCUCGUGUCGUGAGAUGUUGGGUUAAGUCCCGCAACGAGCGCAACCCUUGUCAUUAGUUGCUACGAAAGGGCACUCUAAUGAGACUGCCGGUGACAAACCGGAGGAAGGUGGGGAUGACGUCAAGUCCUCAUGGCCCUUAUGGGUAGGGCUUCACACGUCAUACAAUGGUACAUACAGAGGGCCGCCGACCCGCGAGGGGGAGCUAAUCCCAGAAAGUGUAUCGUAGUCCGGAUCGCAGUCUGCAACUCGACUGCGUGAAGUUGGAGUCGCUAGUAAUCGCGGAUCAGCAUGUCGCGGUGAGUACGUUCCCGGGUCUUGUACACACCGCCCGUCA
rnacentral:rRNA from 1 species